rnacentral:tRNA from 1 species
CAGCGUGUAGCUCAGCCAGAGAGAGCACCGGGCUGUAAUCCCGGAGGGCGCGGGGGCAGGGCCCGCCACGCUGG